UACGUAGGAUCCAAGCGUUAUCCGGAGUGACUGGGCGUAAAGAGUUGCGUAGGUGGUUUAAUAAGCGAAUAGUGAAAUCUGGUGGCUCAACCAUUCAGACUAUUAUUCGAACUGUUGAACUCGAGAGCGGAAGAGGUAGCUGGAAUUUCUAGUGUAGGAGUGAAAUCCGUAGAUAUUAGGAGGAACACCGAUGGCGUAGGCAGGCUACUGGGCCGUUUCUGACACUGAGGCACGAAAGCGUGGGGAGCGA
rnacentral:rRNA from 1 species